CACGUAGGGGCCAAGCGUUGUCCGGAUUUAUUGGGCGUAAAGAGCUCGUAGGCGGUUCGACAAGUCGGGUGUGAAAACUCCGGGCUCAACCCGGAGACGCCACCCGAUACUGUCGUGACUGGAGUCCGGUAGGGGAGUGGGGAAUUCCUGGUGUAGCGGUGAAAUGCGCAGAUAUCAGGAGGAACACCUGUGGCGAAAGCGGCUCACUGGACCACAACUGACGCUGAGGCGCGAAAGCUAGGGGAGCAAACAGG
rnacentral:rRNA from 1 species